rnacentral:rRNA from 1 species
UACGGAGGAGGCAAGCGUUAUCCGGAAUUAUUGGGCGUAAAGGGUCCGUAGGCGGCUUGGUAAGUCUGGGGUGAAAGCCCGGGGCCUAACCCGGGAUCGGCCCUGGAUACUGACAGACUAGAGUGAGGUAGGGGUUGCGGGAAUUCCCGGUGUAGCGGUGAAAUGCGUAGAUAUCGGGAAGAACACCAGUGGCGAAGGCGCGCAACUGGGCCAUAACUGACACUGAGGGACGAAAGCUAGGGGAGCAAAUGGG